rnacentral:rRNA from 1 species
UACCGGUGAAUACGUUCCCGGACCUUGCACACACCGCCCGUCAAGCCAUGGAAGCCGGGCGUACCUAAAGUCGGUAACCGCAAGGGCCGCCUAGGGUAAACUGGUGACUGGGGCU